AUAAGAAAACUGAGUCUCAGAGAAAUUAUGGCUUGUCCUGGGUGCCUAGAGGAGGUCUCUCAUAGAUGCCCACGUUCUCUUGACAAGAUAUUUGGGGAGGACCCCUGGCUACUGUCACUGCUGCCAUGCCUGCCAGGAGGAGGCACCUUCCUGACACUUCACUGCUGCUGCUCAGCAGGCCUGCCAAGUGGUUCUGCUGUGUUCUAGGAGAAACAGGAAAAAUGCCUCUCCUC
rnacentral:lncRNA from 1 species